rnacentral:misc_RNA from 1 species
GCAUUCCACGCUCAGCAGCACCUACCAAUCUCAUGCAAUGGUGCAAUCUUCCUGGGCCCAGUCUACCCUGCAAGGAUGUAGAGCCAACAGAGAUGUAAUAUUCACUUGCAAGUGGGAACUAAAACUACUGCAGAUCCUAAAUGUCAACAGACUAGCAGCCACCAACUCGAGUAGAUCAACUCUACCAUGGUCUACAAAUCAUAUCCCAUUUUAGAUGGAAGUUUCACAAAUAUAAGCAUCUAAACAGGUUCUAACCACAGUUGCCAAAAUUCUCUGCACCCGUAGCAAUUGUGUUUCCAGAUCACAAGAAUCCUUAAAACUAGCAUUCCAAAAUGAAAUCAACCAGGGGUAAAGAAUCAAACAAUAUUGCUAUUUGUAUUAUUACACUGCAAUUUUUGGAAGUGAAUUUUUUUUUGUAGCAUAAAAAAAUUAGCAUAGCAAAUUAUAAUUGAACCUAAUUUAUAACAUGUCUAGGAUACUAGAAAAAAAAGUUUGUGGCAGUUCUUAUUUCAAUCCAGUACCUGUUUUCAUUACAUAAUGAUCAUAAAGAAGCCUAUCCUUACCAUAACACAUUUCUAGGCAAGGAUGUCUUGCAUUCCUGUUUUCAUUCCAUGUACCAGAGCAAUCCAUGUUCUAGAUAAACUACGAUCUAACAAGCAUGAGUGAUACUUGUUGAAUGUGGAACUGGUAGAAAAAUUGCAUAGCAGGAGAACUCAAGAAUCCUGUCUAUACAAGUUAAUAGAAGUUUAAUGAAGCCUGCACUUCAGCUCACAAGCACAAGUUGACAGCCUCAGAAAUUGAAUUAAAGUUUGAUUCAGAGUUCAACAGAAUAUGGAAGCCAACUUCCAUUGAAGUUCAUUAAAUUACUUACAAAGGAAGGAACUGACUUUACCUGGGCAAUCUCAAAUCCACGUCCUUCU